UACGGAGGAUCCAAGCGUCAUCCGGAUUUAUUGGGUUUAAAGGGUGCGUAGGCGGCCUGUUAAGUCAGGGGUGAAAGACGGUAGCUCAACUAUCGCAGUGCCCUUGAUACUGAAGAGCUUGAAUACACUAGAGGUAGGCGGAAUGUGACAAGUAGCGGUGAAAUGCAUAGAUAUGUCACAGAACACCAAUUGCGAAGGCAGCUUACUAUGGUGUCAUUGACGCUGAGGCACGAAGGCGUGGGGAUCAAACAGG
rnacentral:rRNA from 1 species